GGGCUGUGUGAAAGCACAGGUUCAAGGGUGGUAAGCCUGAGAUAGGAGUGAAAUCAGCAGCCCAGCUGAGGUGCAUGUACACCAAUGCACACAGCGUGGGUAACAAACAAGAAGAGCUGGAGGCCAUGGUGCAGCAGCAGACCUGUGAUGUAGUUGCCAUCACAGAAAUGUGGUGGGACGACUCACAUGGCUGGAGUGCUGCACUGGAAUGGCUACAAGCUCUUCAGGAGAGACAAGAGAAGGAGAAGAGGUGAAGGAGAGGUUCUUUGUGUUAGGGAGGCUCUCAACACGGUGGGAAUUGGGGUUAUUGAUGAUAAAGUCAAGUACCUAUGAGUAAUAACUGGGGGAAAGGGCCAACAAGGCUAGCAUCCUACUGGGAGUCUGUUAUUGUUAUUGUCCACCCAACCAGGAAGAAGAGGUGAACAACUCAUUCCAUAAGCAGCUGGAGAAUGUUUCAGGAUUAUCAGCCCUUGUUCUGGUAGGUGACUUUAACCUACCAGACAUCUGGGAACACAACAGAGCAGAGAAGAGGCCAUCCAGGAGGUUCUUAAAGUGUGUGGAGGACAACUUUUUGUCACAGCUGAUGCAGCUUCAUAGUUAGAAGACAUGAAAAGCAUCUGAGGGAGCUAAAAACAAAUCCUGGAUCUCAACAAGAUUCCUGGCAAUCAAUCAGAGUUUUCACUGAUGUAUCAGGAGAUUGAACAUCACAAACCAGUUCAGGAUAGGUGCUGUUUCUAUGUCUGGAUGAGCUCCUGUGCAAGGCAUUUGGUGUCUUGGUCAUCAGAAAGUUGGGAAAAAAAGCAUGUAUUUCUUUGUGAGCAGGCUUCAGUGAAGCAAGUAAAGGAAGAGUACAAUGAGGUUAUACAUGCACAAGAGAGGAUUUUAAAAUUUCUUCAACACAUGAAAAAUCACUCCCAACUUAGUUAUUUUAGGUAAGUGUAUUCGUUAUGCUGAAGGAUGAGGAACACCACAAAUCUUGCCCCACCCAGAAGAGGAGCAAGACAUGAGAGACUUUUCAAUAGUUAGAAGUGCCUCCUUCUCAGAAACAAGAUUCUAAUCUUGGAUAUUCUCUCAGCAGAGAGACAGCUGCUCACCCCAAUUGCAGGUGACUUUAUUGAAUGAUCCAGUGCCUUCUUAUCCCACAUUCACAGCUGGGUGAUUGUGUGAUUUUUGAUGGAGGGGAAUAAAAAGAUCACAAUUACUGAAGGUACAGCAGUACAGACCCUAUCUUUGAAUCUACUUUUGAGAGGUUAUAAAGGGAAGAUGUAGAAGGGUUUAAGACAGACCUGUUUCUGUGACUUCUGAAAGAGUAUUUUAAUCAUCCAUGCCUUUGUAUCAGCUGCUUUAGAUAAGGAUCAGGUUCCUUAUGCAUACAGCAUUGAUUCUUUUUUUUUUUAACUAAUAAAACUCAACAUUUUUGCCUUGUUUCAGAAAGCCUCAUGUACUAGCACAGACCCAAAGGAAGGAGCCUUCCCAAGCAGAUUCUGGAAUUCAGCCUGUUGUUGCCAAAAGCUGGUUUUGGAGAGCUAAAAAAUCUUAUGAAUCUGCAGCAUGUUCAGGAGCAAGGCAACUGAUCAGCAGGCACUUAGAAAAUUAUGUAAGACUUUAUAGUCUAUAAAUAAUUUUUAGGUAUUGUGAGCUCCUUUGCUUUUUAGUUAGCUUAGCUAGCUGAGGUGUCACCAUGACAUUUUCUGAAAAAUCCCUUUGCCAGGAUUUCUUCUCCUGGGAAGCUGGGAAGCUUCAGCUUCUUCAUGUUUUGCUGCUUUGGAAUGUGAUUUGGAGAAUUGUUUAUCAAGCAUGUGAAUUGUUUUAAUUUAAUAGCCAGUUGCUGUCCAGCUGUGUCAGACUCUCUGAUCAGUCACAGGUUUUUAUUAUUCAUUCUUGUCUAGCCUUCUGAUGUAUCCUUUCUCUUUCUUUAGUAUAGUUUUAAUAUAUAAUUUCUUUUAAUAUCAUAUCAUAAUCAGCCUUCUGAGAACCUGAAGUCAAUUCUCAUCUCUCACCUCGUCCUGGGGACCCAUCAACACCACGCUGAGGCAGAGAAGUUUUCCCUGGACUGUUUUUUUUUUUUUCUUUCCCUUUUUUUUGGAACCAUUUGAACCUGCUCUGGACUGGGACCUGGGGAGCACUAAGAGGUUGCACUUUGUGGCCUCGCAGCCUUUGCCAGUGCUGGAAGGACUGAUAACUGUGGAGGGAUAGAAUUUAAGAAAAUAAAGAUAGUACAGAAGGUAGUCUUACACCUGAGGAGUUGCAGCUGUACUAAUCACCAAAGAUUAGGAACAGGCCUGCCCUUAAUAGGCCACAGCUGUGUCCAAUAAGAUGAGUGCUACAAAAGAGUGGGUUAGCUGGUUGAGAAGAGAGUUGGAGUUGUUGGCUGUGAAGAAGAAGUCAGUGCUGUGAGGAGCUGCCCAUGAGAAAUCACUGAGAAGGUAUGAGAGCUUUGCAAUAAAAUGACAACAGAUAACAGAGCAACCACCCACCGGAGAGACUUUCUGAAUUUGUCAUCUCUUCAGAGUGGUGAAUGAGUUUUGUCAUCUACUAUUGUUCAUUUUGUGCACUGGGGAGUGCUUUGCCUGUUAAAUGUAAUAGAUGAUAUGUAUAAAUUUGUGCUGAGGCUACAGUAAUCUCACCUGAUGAGAAUCCUGGCAUACCAAAAGAAGAUUCUGGGAAGUUCCCUCUGAUGAUAUUACAGUGAUAUGCACCAAAUAUUCAUCUCCAGAAAUGUUGAUUUCAGAGGAUUAUUCAUCUGACCAAACCCCAGCAAUAUGCAUUCGAUAUAAGAUAAAUAUGUGUGUCCUAGAAUGAAUAUGCUAAAAGGAUAGGAUCAACAAUAAGAAAGCAAGAAACCCUCCCUGGCAACCCUCGGAGCUUGGAAAUGUAUAAAAAAGACUUUGUAAGAGCUGUCUCUUUGUGAUGCACAGAGGAGAGGAGCCAGAGUGCCCCACCUGUCUCACCCGACGCUGUUAGCCUGGUUCAGCGCUGAUCUGAUCUCUGCUUGUGGCCUUUUUAUGAUUGAAUUUUAAUUACUGAAUAAAUUCUCCUUAUUAAUCAAAUUGACUAAUUCAUUUAUAACAUAAAUAAACAGGUUUUUUCCACUUCUCUCCAAGGCAAUUCUUCCCAAAUGAGUCGGGGGGAGUGAGGUGACUCUGGAGUUUUGGGAUCUCCCCGCCCCCGGCUGCCGUGGGUGCCCAAGACAGAGAAGCCCAGUUAAGCACGACCUGUCCAGGCCCCUCAGGCAGGCUCCAGAGCCACAGGCUACCUCAGCAAGCUCAGCUCGUAGUGAGAUCAGCUCUUCAGGGAUUAUCAGCUCAUUUGUGAUUCCAGCUCUUGGCUUGCUAAGUGCCCUGGGCACAUGCAGGGAGAGAGGAGAAGGCUGUAUGAGGUUCCCCAGGGAUGUCUUUAUUGAUGUCUCCUGCGAAGGUCUCAGGGACAGCUCUUCUGCCAAACUGGGCAAAAGUAGGGCUUUAUAUAGGGUACAGGAGUUUCAGGAAUUGUCCAGUAGUAGGGGUCAAGGAGAAUGUGACCUAUAGUCAUACAGAGAGAUAAGCAAGGGUCCAGAGGAGGAAAAAGGGGCUUCUUUUAGGUCCAGUCAUCAUGACUAGGCAUUUCCUAUCUUAGGCUGCUGAAUGCCAGGGAGGUCUUGCAGGCCCUGUGCCUGCUACAGGGGAGGGGACAUGUGGAUUGGCACUCUGGGGGGGCCACUUUAGGAGAUUUUUUUCCCAAUUUUACCCUAAAC